CUCCAGUUCCUCAAAUGAAUGAAUGAGCGUCUAGGAGUGGCUCUGCAAAUAGCUGUCUCUUAAGAAUCACCUCUGCCGGCUGGAAGCUGUUUACCUCACAGUUCCUCCAGCCUACAGGGCGCCGCCAUCUUGGACGUACAGCACCUCCCCCCCCGUCGUGAAAUGUCCACGGCCGCUGCAGCCUCCGCCACGAAAAAGAGUCCCCCAGCCGCGCCGCGCCUCGCCCUCGAACCCGACGACAGUUGACCGUGGUCGCCUGCCCCUUUGGAAAGAAGGGGCCGUUCUUCUCAUUACUGGUGGUGCUAACCGGUCGAGAAAGAGCCAAGAAGAGUUGUAAGACACUGGGCAGCCUCCUCUGCUUGGCUGUUAUGAAUACGACUGCUGGAAAGAUGGACUUACAGGUGUCUCUUUGAGUCCCUGCCUUGAUGCUUCAGUCAUCUUGCAGAAAUGUGUACAUAGACCACCUUUCAAGCAUGUACCAACUGUAGUCACAAGACUUCAAGAGGGUCCUCACCCUCUUCCCAGCUUCUACAUCCUUUUCUUCAGAGGAGGAGACCUCCCUACAUGCUCUUGGGAUGACAAGAAGCAUCAGGAAUGAAAAAACGCUCACCCUUCAGGGGACAGUGAUACAACGGCCUCUAGGCAAACCAGCUAUCUUGUGACCUGAAGACACCCCAGAACCCCACCCGCUGGUCCUCCUCCAGGAUGCUGCCCAUUCCCAUCGAGAGAGCUGUGGAGGCGAGAGGAUGAGGGGGUUGAGCUCACGGACUGAGGGAGAGACUGCCUGUGCGGUGCCCAAGAGCAGAGGACC